GUAAACAGAGGGCAUCUAGACUCGCCUCCCUAGCUGACCUCCCACUUCACCCACAGUGGUUGACAUGCGUGGCAGCUUCAGUUUGCCCUGCCAUGAUACCCCUGAAGAAGACAGGAUGAAAGCAAGGUCCAGAAGCUCUCUGACCUGUUUUGUUCUGAUGUGAAACCAAGUGCAGGAGGCUCUGCACUCGGGGCUGAGACAGCUUCGAGGCAGUGGAGCCCGUUCCCUCCCCCAGCGCGAGGCCACACAGAGGAACACAAGGAGCAGGCUCUAGGGGCGUUGAUCCUUGUGGGCCGUGUUCUCACGGUGGACGGUGACCCUGGAGACACUCCGGCCUUGACGAAGCUGCAGCCAGCGGCCUUGCGAGCAGACGGUAGGCCUGAAAACUGAAGCUCCAGAGGUUACAUAACCUUCCCACCUUGUGACCCAGUCACCAAGUGACCGAACCAGAAAUAAAACCGCAUUUGGCUUCCUGUGCUCUUUCUGUUGCCGCGUGUUUGCUGAUCCAGGCAGGUGGAGCGCAUGACACUUGAAAGGAGCUUGGAGAAGACUGCAGGAGGUCAGGACACCAGCCAGAGCUCUGGCAAGAAACAGAACGCAGCCCAAGUUGUUCGGGCGAAGAGAGGAGUAAAGGCACGUGGGCGCAGCUGUGCGCAGGAUCAGCAGAAGCAUCGGGGAUGGUCGGACACGCAGAGCCCAGCAGCGGACAGGAACCAGGGCUGUCCCGGGGGGAUGCUCGUGGGACCUAGAGCCACAGCGGACAGGCCACCAGCCUCACCCGUGACCUGGAGGCACAGCCCUGCCGGGUGCGGCUGCGCAGCAGGGGGAGGGCAGACAACGGUAAUCCGACCUCUCCUCUCACUGCCCAUCUGCCCCUGCCGCCUACCAGCUGUGCCCGCUGGGACCCCCGUGCCUGCUGGAAACCCGCUGUCAGGGAGCCUGGAAAGGCGGGAGGCGGGGAUCAGAGCCUCCCAGACCACGGAGAGGGCGGACGCGUCCGUGGAGAGAAGGGCGCUGAGGCACACGCUGGGCGGCCCCGCCCGGCCAUGUCUGGUGUCACGGGUGGGGGCGCGGCUCUCCAACCCCUACCCCCGCCUCCUUCGCCCUCUGUUUUCUGCCUCAGUCAGCCAGAGGCAGGCCCUGACGGAGACCCUGGGGCAGGAGGCUAGAAGCAGGGCGUCUGCCCACUCUCCAGCUGCCUCGGGCACGGUCUGCAGAAGCCGCUGCCUCUCCUGUGGGCCCUGCUCUCGCAGCAAGAACCACCACGGCCCCAGUUUCUUCCUGG
ensembl:lncRNA